rnacentral:rRNA from 1 species
AUUGAACGCUGGCGGAAUGCUUUACACAUGCAAGUCGAACGGCAGCACGGACUUCGGUCUGGUGGCGAGUGGCGAACGGGUGAGUAAUGUAUCGGAACGUGCCCAGUCGUGGGGGAUAACGUAGUGAAAAUUACGCUAAUACCGCAUACGAUCUAUGGAUGAAAGCGGGGGAUCGCAAGACCUCGCGCGUUUGGAGCGGCCGAUAGCAGAUUAGGUAGUUGGUGGGGUAAAGGCCCACCAAGCCAACGAUCUAUAGCUGGUCUGAGAGGACGACCAGCCACACUGGAACUGAGACACGGUCCAGACUCCUACGGGAGGCAGCAGUGGGGAAUUUUGGACAAUGGGCGAAAGCCUGAUCCAGCCAUUCCGCGUGCAGGAUGAAGGCCCUCGGGUUGUAAACUGCUUUUGUACAGAACGAAAAGGUUUCUACUAAUACUAGGAGCUCAUGACGGUACUGUAAGAAUAAGCACCGGCUAACUACGUGCCAGCCGCCGCGGUAA